UCUACGGGUGGCAGCAGUGGGGAAUAUUGCACAAUGGGGGGAACCCUGAUGCAGCGACGCCGCGUGGGUGAGGAAGUACUUCGGUAUGUAAAGCCCUAUCAGCAGGGAAGAAAAUGACGGUACCUGACUAAGAAGCCCCGGCUAACUACGUGCCAGCAGCCGCGGUAAUACGUAGGGGGCAAGCGUUAUCCGGAUUUACUGGGUGUAAAGGGAGCGUAGACGGCGUGCCAAGUCUGGUGUGAAAGGCCGGGGCUCAACCCCGGGACUGCAUUGGAAACUGGCAUGCUGGAGUGCCGGAGGGGCAAGCGGAAUUCCUAGUGUAGCGGUGAAAUGCAUAGAUAUCACGCAGAACUCCGAUUGCGAAGGCAGCAUACCGGCGCCCAACUGACGCUGAAGCACGAAAGCGUGGGUAUCGAACAGGAUUAGAUACCCGUGUAGUC
rnacentral:rRNA from 1 species